UACGUAGGGGGCAAGCGUUGUCCGGAUUCAUUGGGCGUAAAGAGCGUGUAGGCGGCUAGAUAGGUCCGUUGUGAAACCUGGAGGCUCAACCUCCAGCUGUCGGUGGAAACCAUCUGGCUAGAGUCCGGAAGAGGAGAGUGGAAUUCCUGGUGUAGCGGUGAAAUGCGCAGAUAUCAGGAAGAACACCCGUGGCGAAGGCGGCUCUCUGGGACGUGACUGACGCUGAGAAGCGAAAGCAUGGGGGAGCGAACAGG
rnacentral:rRNA from 1 species